rnacentral:rRNA from 1 species
GCAAGGAAUUUUGUGUAAUGGGCGAAAGCCUGACACAGCAACGCCGCGUGAGGGAUGAAGGCCUUCGGGUUGUAAACCUCUUUUCUCAGGGAAGAAUAAUGACGGUACCUGAGGAAUAAGCUUCGGCUAACUACGUGCCAGCAGCCGCGGUAAUACGUAGGAAGCGAGCGUUAUCCGAAUUUACUGGGCGUAAAGUGGGCGUAGGCGGCCUUUCAAGUUGGAUGUGAAAUCUCCUGGCUUAACUGGGAGGGGUCAUCCAAUACUGCUAGGCUGGAGGGCAGCAGGAGAAAGCGGAAUUCCCGGUGUAGUGGUGAAAUGCGUAGAUAUCGGGAGGAACACCAGUGGCGAAGGCGGCUUUCUAGGCUGUUUCUGACGCUGAGGCCCUAAAGUGUGGGGAGCGAACAGGAUUAGAAACCCCGGUAGUCC